rnacentral:rRNA from 1 species
UGACGGCGUACCUUUUGUAUAAUGGGUCAACGACUUAGUGUGACAAGCGAGCUUAAGCCGGUAGGUGUAGGCGUAGCGAAAGCGAGUCUGAAUAGGGCGUUUAGUUUGUUGCAUUAGACCCGAAACCGAGUGAUCUAGCCAUGAGCAGGUUGAAGGUUGGGUAACACCAAUUGGAGGACCGAACCCGUAUCUGUUGCAAUAGAUUGGGAUGACUUGUGGCUAGGGGUGAAAGGCCAAUCAAACUCGGAGAUAGCUGGUUCUCCGCGAAAUCUAUUUAGGUAGAGCGUUAACUGAAUACCCUCGGGGGUAGAGCACUGGAUAGGCUAUGGGGGCUUACCGCCUUACUGCUCCUAACCAAACUCCGAAUACCGAGGAGUACUAGUUGGCAGACACACAGUGGGUGCUAACGUCCAUUGUGGAGAGGGCAACAACCCUGACCUCCAUCUAAGGUCCCGAAGUCAUGGCUAAGUGGGAAAGGAUAUGAAGAUCCCAAAACAACCAGGAUGUUGGCUUAGAAGCAGCCAUCAUUUAAAGAAAGCGUAACAGCUCACCGGUCUAGAUAAGGAUUUUUGCGCCGAAAAUGUAACGGGGCUAAAGCCAUGCACCGAAGAUGAGGAUUUGUUUAUUUUUAAACGAGUGGUAGCGGAGCGUUCCGUAAGCUGAUGAAGGAGGACUUGUGAGA